rnacentral:lncRNA from 1 species
GGGGCAUGCUCAUGGGUUAAAUUCACUUGUUUGUUUUUCCUUUUUUGGGGGGCCGCAUUCGAGAGACUUGGAAGGUCCCUGGGCCAGGGAUUGAAUCAGAGCCGCAUGGGCGACCUACGCCACAGCUGAGGUAACACGGGACCCUUAACCCACUGCAGCACAGCGGGAACUCCCUGCUGCACGUCUCUGAGCCACACUGUCUUCCUUGAGGAGGCGCUGCUGAGGGUGACGGAGACCCCCCUACUGGAGGUGCCACUGAGGUGUGGCAGGGAGGGGGCAUCCAUCCGUCUGUCCCCAGGCCUCGGACCCUGGUGCCUGAGAGACACGGAUGCUGCAAGACUCCAUCUCCAGCACCACCACUGCUGCGCUCAGACCCUGGGGCUCUGUCAGGAGUCUGCCCUGCACGGCUUUUAUCAAAACAUCCAAAACUAGGCCAGAGACAAGGCCAGGGAACCUGCAGCCCUCGGGCCACUCCAGGCCGCCUACCAGGUUCCGGCAGAGCUGCCGGGCGGGAAGUGGACCCCGCGGGCACUUUCGAGCCUCUGCACCCCAGCGUCCCUUCUGCUGCCGAAAGAGUUCUCCACAGAGCGCUGCUGGAGUCCGGGAGCCUGGAGUCUGUGAACCUGGAUGAGAAAACAGUCACAUCCAUAUCGGCACCGACUAAAUUCAGCAUCGCCCUGCCUUGUGAAUGUGAGCAGCAAAACCCAGUGAGGUCUGUGGUUUUGCCACCGACGUUAUCAACCACAAACCCUACUGGGUUUCCGAACAUCCUACCUUUAUUGCAGAAAUUUCAGGAUGGCAUUUGGACUCAAAUCACGGUAGUUCUUAAAUCCACCACUAGGUAUUCUUUUAAAUGUGCUAAGAAGAAGUUGGAGUUCCCUGGUGGCCUAGCUGGUUAGGGAUCCUGCAUUAUCACUGCUGUAGCUGGGUUAGAUUCCUGGCCUGGGAGUGUCUGCAGGCUGCUGGCCAAAAAAAAAGAAGAAGAAGGAGAAAAGGAAGAGGAAGGGGAAGAAAAGAAGAAGAGGCAUGUAUAUUAAAAAAUAGUUUGACAAAUUUCAGUGCAUUUGGCUUCCUUUAUAAUCCUACGUAUUUUGCUAUUUUGCAUUGUGCAUUUAAAAACAUGAUCCUGAGAAGGGGUGUCAAAAGCCUAGUUAAUUUUUUUUUUUUUUUUUUUGGCUGUGCCCAAGGCAGGUGGAAGUUCCCCGGCCAGGGACUGAAUCUGAGCCACGACAGUGACCCAAGCCACCGCAGUGAAAAUGCUGGAUCCUUAACCUGCUGCACCACAAGAACACUCAAAAGCCUAGUUGAGGUAAUGCUGGGGAGCUGAUAUUCUGGAGCGCUGGCAGUCAUUUUGUGACUCUGAGGGUAAAGCUGACUCAGUGAGAAGGGCAGACUGAGGAGUGGGGGAAGUUCCAGGGUCCUUUCCCAGCUAUGACCAGAAUUAACCAACCGGGGAAAGUCCCCUCUUCUGGGCUUAUUUCUUGCUGUAACACAUGGCCUCGUUGUUUAGCCAGUUGAGUCAGGGGUUUCUGUUUUGGGCCCUGAAGACUGCAUGCCUGAAAGAUGGUGUUUCCAGAGGGGUCCGGGAAUGGCCUAGGGAAAGACAGGUGAGACUAGAAUUCUGCUGGCCUGGACAGAGGCGUUGCGUGAAUUAGGAAGGAUGCUCCCCUGGCUGGGGCUAGCCUUUUGGCACAAAGAAAAGCCUCCGGUCUGGGAGUUCUUGUUGUGGCUCAGCAGGUUAAGAACCAGAUGAGUAUCCAUGAGGAUGCGGAUUUGAUCCCUGGCCUCACUCAGUGGGUUAGGAAUCCAGCGUUGUCACAAGCUGUGGUAUAGGUCUCAGAUGUGGCUCAGAUCCUGCGUUGCUGUGGCUGUUGUGUAGGCUGGCAGCUGCGGCUCCAAUUCAACCUUUAGCCUGGGAACUUCCAUAUGCUGGGAGUUUGGCCCUAAAGAGACAAACAAACAAAAAGAGCCUCUAGGCUGACACAGCCACCCAUCUAGAGCACAGGCUUGUCUAAGGGGCCUUGAGCUGGCUCUCCCCGCCCCCUAGAGCCUUUGUGCAGGAUUCGACCUGGGAGGCCCUGGGAGAGGACCCCAGAUGGAGAGCAGAGAGGCUUCGUGGAGGGGUGUGUGGGGAGGGCAGGGCCUGCGGAAGGCAGCUGGCACCCUUAAGGGAGACCCUCCAAUGGCCGCGCCCACGACCUGCAGCUUCUUCUGCCUCAGACGCCCUGCAGAUGCGCUCCUUGUUCCGGCCCCAAACUGCCCUUGUCCCUAUCUGAGCACUGCCAUCAAUGCCCUGGACCCUUGCAAAGUGUCCCGGACAUGCACUGAGCGGGUAGAAAGGGGCUGGCAGGAUACCCGAGCCAGGCAGGUAGUAGAUGCUGCUCACUUCCCCGUGUGGGCAUUUCAAACCCCCCAGGCGGCUGGCACUCCCUGAACCAUCUUGCUCGCUGGGCAGAGUCCACCCCCGCCAGGCUCUCUGGGGAAGCAGCCAG